AGUAGGAUAGGCGAAGCGUGCGAUUGGAUUGCACGUCUAAGCAGUAAGGCUGAGUAUUAGGCAAAUCCGGUACUCGUUAAGGCUGAGCUGUGAUGGGGAGAAGACAUUGUGUCUUCGAGUCGUUGAUUUCACACUGCCGAGAAAAGCCUCUAGAUAGAAAAUAGGUGCCCGUACCGCAAACCGACACAGGUAGUCAAGAUGAGAAUUCUAAGGUGAGCGAGCGAACUCUCGUUAAGGAACUCGGCAAAAUGACCCCGUAACUUCGGGAGAAGGGGUGCUCUUUAGGGUUAACGCCCAGAAGAGCCGCAGUGAAUAGGCCCAAGCGACUGUUUAUCAAAAACACAGGUCUCUGCUAAACCGUAAGGUGAUGUAUAGGGGCUGACGCCUGCCCGGUGCUGGAAGGUUAAGAGGAGUGGUUAGCUUCUGCGAAGCUACGAAUCGAAGCCCCAGUAAACGGCGGCCGUAACUAUAACGGUCCUAAGGUAGCGAAAUUCCUUGUCGGGUAAGUUCCGACCCGCACGAAAGGCGUAACGAUUUGGGCACUGUCUCAACGAGAGACUCGGUGAAAUCAUAGUACCUGUGAAGAUGCAGGUUACCCGCGACAGGACGGA
rnacentral:rRNA from 1 species